rnacentral:rRNA from 1 species
GACGAACGCUGGCGGCGUGCUUAACACAUGCAAGUCGAACGAUGAAAGAGGAGCUUGCUCCUCUGGAUUAGUGGCGAACGGGUGAGUAACACGUGAGCAAUCUGCCCCUGACUCCGGAAUAACUACGGGAAACUGUAGCUAAUACCGGAUAUGCGCCGAACGGGCAUCUGUAUCGGUGGGAAAGAAUUUCGGUCAGGGAUGAGCUCGCGGCCUAUCAGCUUGUUGGUGAGGUAACGGCUCACCAAGGCGACGACGGGUAGCCGGCCUGAGAGGGUGACCGGCCACAUUGGGACUGAGACACGGCCCAG